AACGAACGCUGGCGGCGCGCUUAACACAUGCAAGUCGAACGAGAAGGCGUAGCAAUACGCUUGUACAGUGGCGAACGGGUGAGUAAUACGUGGGCGACCUACCCUCGAGUGGGGAAUAACCCGCCGAAAGGCGGGCUAAUGCCGCGUACGCUUCCAUCUUUAUGGAGGUGGAAGGAAAGCCGUGCCGUGGGCACGGCGCUCAAGGAUGGGCUCACGUCCUAUCAGCUUGUUGGGGGGUAACGGCCUACCAAGGCGGUGAUCGGUAGCUGGUCUGAGAGGAUGAUCAGCCACACUGGGACUGCGACACGGCCCAGACUCCUACGGGAGGCAGCAGUGGGGAAUAUUGGACAAUGGGGGCAACCCUGAUCCAGCAACGCCGCGUGGGUGACGAAGGCCUUAGGGUUGUAAAGCCCUUUCGGCGGGGACGAUGAUGACGGUACCCGCAGAAGAAGCCCGGCUAACUCCGUGCCAGCCGCCGCCGUAAG
rnacentral:rRNA from 1 species